rnacentral:rRNA from 1 species
GACAGAGGCCUCAAGCGUUAGGCGGAAUCACUGGGCUUAAAGCGUGUGUAGGCGGGUUGGUAAGUACUUUGUGAAAUCCCACGGCUUAACUGUGGAACUGCUUAGUAUACUGCCGAUCUUGAGUCAUCUAGGGGCAGCCGGAACAGAUGGUGGAGCGGUGAAAUGCGUAGAUAUCGGAAGGAACGCCGGUGGCGAAAGCGACGUGCUGGACCUCUUCUGACGCUGAGGCGCGAAAGCUAGGGGAGCAAACGGG